ACGAGGAAGGGAACGUAACCCGGAGAAAGUCGGACUAAUACCGCAUAAAACAGGGGCACCGCAUGGUGAUAUUUGUUAAAGAAAUUCGCUGAUAGAUGGGCAUGCGUUCCAUUAGGUAGUUGGUGAGGUAACGGCUCACCAAGCCGACGAUGGAUAGGGGAACUGAGAGGUUGGUCCCCCACACUGGUACUGAGACACGGACCAGACUCCUACGGGAGGCAGCAGUGAGGAAUAUUGGUCAAUGGGCGGGAGCCUGAACCAGCCAAGUCGCGUAGAAGGAAGAAGGAUCUAUGGUUACGUAAACUUCUUUGCAGGGGAAUAAAGUGCAGGACGUGUCCUGUUUUGUAUGUACCCUGAGAAUAAGGAUCGGCUAACUCCGUGCCAGCAGCCGC
rnacentral:rRNA from 1 species